GACGAACGCUGGCGGCGUGCCUAAUACAUGCAAGUUGAGCGAUGAAGAUUGGUGCUUGCACCAAUUUGAAGAGCAGCGAACGGGUGAGUAACGCGUGGGGAAUCUGCCUUUGAGCGGGGGACAACAUUUGGAAACGAAUGCUAAUACCGCAUAAUAACUUUAAACAUAAGUUUUAAGUUUGAAAGAUGCAAUUGCAUCACUCAAAGAUGAUCCCGCGUUGUAUUAGCUAGUUGGUGAGGUAAAGGCUCACCAAGGCGAUGAUACAUAGCCGACCUGAGAGGGUGAUCGGCCUCAUUGGGACUGAGACACGGCCCAAACUCCUACGGGAGGCAGCAGUAGGGAAUCUUCGGCAAUGGACGAAAGUCUGACCGAGCAACGCCGCGUGAGUGAAGAAGGUUUUCGGAUCGUAAAACUCUGUUGGUAGAGAAGAACGUUGGUGAGAGUGGAAAGCUCAUCAAGUGACGGUAACUACCCAGAAAGGGACGGCUAACUACGUG
rnacentral:rRNA from 1 species